CAGUGGGGAAUAUUGGACAAUGGGCGCAAGCCUGAUCCAGCCAUGCCGCGUGAGUGAUGAAGGCCCUAGGGUUGUAAAGCUCUUUCACCGGAGAAGAUAAUGACGGUAUCCGGAGAAGAAGCCCCGGCUAACUUCGUGCCAGCAGCCGCGGUAAUACGAAGGGGGCUAGCGUUGUUCGGAAUUACUGGGCGUAAAGCGCACGUAGGCGGAUCGAUCAGUCAGGGGUGAAAUCCCAGGGCUCAACCCUGGAACUGCCUUUGAUACUGUCGAUCUGGAGUAUGGAAGAGGUGAGUGGAAUUCCGAGUGUAGAGGUGAAAUUCGUAGAUAUUCGGAGGAACACCAGUGGCGAAGGCGGCUCACUGGUCCAUUACUGACGCUGAGGUGCGAAAGCAUGGGGAGCGAACAGGAUUAGA
rnacentral:rRNA from 1 species